GCAAGUCUAGGAAAGACUUCGAGCUUGCUUGAAGUGGAAACUGGCGAACGGGUGAGUAACACGUAGAUAACCUACCCAGGGGCGGGAUAACGUCGAGAAAUCGGCACUAAUACCGCAUACAAUUUCAGAUUAAAUUUUUGAAAUGAAAGGGGGCUUCGGCUCUCACCUUUGGAUGGGUCUGCGUCUGAUUAGCUUGUUGGUGAGGUAAUGGCUCACCAAGGCGACGAUCAGUAGCUGGUCUGAGAGGAUGAUC
rnacentral:rRNA from 1 species